GGAUGGUCUGAGUGCAGUGGUGUCCACAACUAAUUGACCACAAUGAGUUAUGGAUUUUUUGGUUCCUUCUCUACCCUACUCUGGCUUUACUUGACUAGUCAAAA
rnacentral:Y_RNA from 1 species